CGCUCUCCAACUCACGACCCGCAUCGUCUCCGUGCUUGGCUCGUGGGAGAACCCUAGCCGCCGCUCCUGCCUUCCCUUGCUCCUUGCGGACGGAUUCCAGGCCGGCGAACGCGAGCUCUCCUCACCGGUGCCGUGGGCUGCCUCUGCACGCCCGGCCAGCUGCUGUCCGUGGAGGCGCGCAACAGCGCGCCAAGCGGUCCCCAAUAGCUGGACUGUUGGAGCCGCCCAGUCCGCUCGGGCGCUCCGGUGCCGUGGUCUGCCUCUGCUCGACUGGCCUGCUGCUGUCCGCACAUGCGCACCACCGGCCAGCAGCGUGCCGAACGCCCGAGCCUCCCCUCUUAGCCGGACUGCUGGAGCCGCCCAGUUUGCUCAGGCACGCUGCUGCUGAGCCCAUUGUCUUCUUCCGAGAGACGUACUCCUAUCCCCCAUACCCUGAUCCCCCAAUCCCCCAUGGUUGCUCACUUGCCGUGAAUCUCUGAUUUAGACAAAUGUCAAUAUUUUCGGCACAAAUCUGAAUUUGUCUACACCCGGAAGCUCCUCCUAUCCUUCAAGCUACUUUGAUUCAGUGGAGUCUCGAGGCUGCAGGCAUGCGGCAACCUCGGUUUCAAUUUGUCCAGAGACAGGAGUUAGGCAGCCAUGUAAUUUUUUAUUUGUACAAUACUACACCAGCAUGUAAUAUGUUCAAUUAUUACCCGUACCAUAUAGAAAUACAUAUGGGCAGUAGUCACUAGAUUAAUUUUUAUUGCAAAAUUAUUGAAGAUUUUUAUUAUACAGCAACACAACUAGAACUUCUCAAGGUUUUCAGUAUGCUUGUACUUCCACAUUGAUCUAUUUCUAUAUGGUAUUCGCAACUAUGACACCAUGUGGUGAGAAACUGGUUGUUUGGGCAUCUUCAUGUAUUUCAUGAUUCCAUCUUGCAGGUGCACGUCAACAGCGGUGCGUACAGCCGGUGGACGCUUGGGUCCUUCGUCAACGGUGAAUCCCAUAACAAUCUUGAAACAUGAUGGAACCAUAUCCAGGAUGACAGUGUGGACUUGGAUGGAACAAAGAGUUGAUCAAAACCGACACCAUGUAUUCUUAUGGAUGUAUGAGCCAUCUCACUGUAUAUCAUUACUCUUCUCAUGGUCUUGCAGAUGCACCACAUAUAGCUUUUCAGCCUUGCAAAUUAGAUAUUUUGAUUGAUACAUGCAUAUUGUUGGGUGUCUGUCAUCCUUCAGGGUGAGAUGCAGACCAAGGACGACCACUUGACGCAGAGGGAUGCAUGGUUGUGUAGCGGCUUCGGUUGCACAUCUCAUGUAACUGCCGGGAUCGCGGAGAAGUGGUGGUGACAACACAUGAGUGACCUAGAUGGUGGCGAUACUUGUGCAUCCGAUCUCAAGCUUCGGGGUGAAGAGCCUAGGUCUGGCCCAAGGUGGUCAUACCUAGCAAUGGCAAUGUUUUUUUUACGUUGUUAUCUUGUUGAAGGCAUUGUUGGAUAUGUUUGGACUAAUUCUUUAGGGUGCAAACCUAGAUUCUUGGCUUGUUGGUUGGAUCUGGUGACAACGGUGCUUGAGCGUCACUCCCUUCUUGAAGGCGUUGUUGUUUAAGAACCUCGUCGUCCAUGUGGCGUCAUGAGAUGGUUGGCGUGGAUAUGAUCAUUGUUGUAGUUUGCGAUCGCAUAUCUAU